UGUUAAUGGGUACCAUUAAACAUACCACUGCACAGUGUUACAAUAUAUGCAAACAUUUAAUGCAAAGGCAGAACCCAAACGCAAUUCCAUUUCUUCUGUUAAAAAAGUAAAUGCAGAAUAUGAUGUAUUUCUAUUGCUCGCAUUACAGUUUGGUCUCAGUUUGGGAUGAACAUUCUCGGGAACUAACUUACCAAGAUUUGAUACGGAGGGUUUCUCUGGGAAGCACUAUUUUGAGUUAACUAGUACACAACCAGAGGUAAUUCUCAGGGAAUUAACCUUAAAAAAGGAAAACAGAAGUUUUCUUUUUGUGAGACAGUUGAUGCCGCUCCGCUCUCAGGAUAGCGUGCCUGCCUUCAAGCUCGGGAAGCUCUACUGAAAUCAAGAAAUGCUACCCUUGAGAAUGAGCUGGAAUGAUACAAACACCAGAAACACACUCUGCCAUUUCAUUCGGAGCACUGUCUAUUGUUCUGGAACAUGGCUGACUGGAAAAGGGCACUUCCAGGAAUCUGACUGCCACUGUUCUAAACUACUUACCUUAUCCUGGAUAUUUGCUUAAACAUGAUAUUCACUACAACGUUGCACCUGGAAAAUUUCUGCUGUGAUGAAAUGAGCACUAUUUUUGGUAUUGGAAUUUUUGAUUUUGAUAAUUUUGUGUCUUGGCUUCCUCACAAAGAGUUCUGCCAGAAAUUCUGAGCAUGGGUGGUGUGAAAGACAAAACUGUUUCUUUUUUGUCUCAAAGCUUGCUUCGUGAAACCUUUUUGGUGAUAAGACUCUUAACUGACGAUUGUGUCACCAUGCCACCGUACUUCUGCUCAUGACUGUAAAGAUAAGCAGAAGCAGGACAAGCAGUCUUUUUCAGGGUGUGUGUGUGGGGUGCCGUUUGAAGGAGCUGACCACUGAAAAAGGCGAUAAUGCUUGUGCAUGGCAACAAAGGUACCACUCCUUACUGGCUUAUCUUUUGGGCCAGGUGUGUCACCCUAAUGGGGAGAAAAGAAUUAAAAAAACAGAGAAAUGGAGGAUAAAAGGCCCUCACUGAAUUGAGGAUUUUGGAGAAGAACUCCUAAAGGAACCUUUGAUGGAAGAAUUCCCUUAGGGGAAGACACCUCUUCGGAAACAACCUCCCCCAUCCCCCACAGGUUCUGCUUGCUUCCUAACUUUCUCCCAUCCCGCAGUGAUUGGACAAGUUCCUGAGAUCAACGGACGUACUACGAACCUUGCUGGACCCAUGAUUUGAAGAGCAUUUGAGCACCUGUGAAUAUGCUUGCACACUGGAAUAGAGUUACUGCUCAGUUUUCUUUUGGAGGAGAUUGAGCUAUUUCAGUCUCUCACUGCAAGAUGUUUUGUCCAAUCACUGAGCAAUUUUUGAGGCUUCUUUUUUCUUGUUUUUUUUUUUUUUUUGUUAUUGUUGUUGUUCUUUUUCUUUUUUGUGUGUGUGUAUGUUUUUUAUUUGUUUUAAAGACCACCUUCGAUUUUUUGACUUUUUUGAAACAGUGAACAUCAGAAGGGGAUCUAGUAUUACAGCAUUUAUUACAGUGAUAGUGUAUUUAGAGACAUAACUACCUUUCUACUUCUCUGCUUUUAAAUGAGCAUUUUUUAAAAUAUAGGCUGUAUUCGUUUUUUUUCUCUAAAUCUAUGAAGUUAACUGCAUUAAAAUGUGCUCGAUUUAGAACAUCUGCUUUACCACGUGUACUAUAAAAUACAGUACUUAAAGCAAGUUAUUUAUAGUUUAUUAUUAUAUGCUUUCAAGGUGAGAAGAUUCAGUAAGUGAACUUUGGAAAAUAUUCAUGUGAAUUAAAUGAGGUUCAGAACUCUUUUUUUAAGUAUUGCUAUCAUAAGUAAUGUAAUAUUUUGAAUAUGGUUAUACAAAUAGAUAAUAGUAGUUUGUAUAGUGUCCAAACAUUACUUACUCUUUGCAAAGAUGUUUUGAAUGAAGUUUUCAUAUUUGAUUUGCAGUGUUAGUAUGAAUUAAAUCCAUAAAUAAAGCAGUUGAAAAAGAUAACUGGUGUUGUAGAAAUAUCUUCUGAGCUAAGCAGAAGUUUGAUUUUGGAGUUCUUCAUAUCACAUAUUCUCUCAGCUCUUAUGUGUAAGCUUAUGAAUUUGUAUUCUGCUGCUGAUUUUUUUACAUUCCCAAAACUUAGUUUUGUGAAUAAUUCAACAAAAUAAAACUUUUGAGUUAAAUGGGUGUUUGAUUUUCAGGUUCAUAUACACCAAAAUUUUGUGUUUUUAUCUCUUGAAGGUUCAAAUAUUCUGAAGUAUUUGAGGUGGUAGACGACAUUGCAUCAACAUUUAAGACAAUUUAAUGUUGAAAUUUUCUGUUUUUCAGUUCCCUGAGAAGAUCAAGUGAAGCUUUUGAGAUGAUCGAACACCAAUUUUAGGAUAACAUAAUCCAGUGUUGCCUAGCCUGUUUGCUUAUCUCUUUGUAUCUGUCUGAUGUCUGAUGACUGAAAAAAAAAUAU